UAUAAUUUUGAAAACUCGAAA
rnacentral:piRNA from 1 species